UAGGGAGCUGUCUGUAACACCUAAAUUGUGUAAGUGAUUGUUAAGCAAGGCAUGUCCGGUAAGAGCCCCAACCAGUAGUUGGAGCUGGGCUCUCUCAUAACCACGAAGUUUGCGCGACAAUCCUGGGUUGAUCGUCGAAAGAGCUUCCUUGGUCUGCCUGCAGGUAGUUAGUUUUGCCCAAUAUUCUUGGCGCAUUACCUUGGUGUUGUGUCGCAGCUGGCUGCGCAGCAAUCCGAAAGGCAGAGGCAAAAUGGGUUCAGGUCCUUUUAAAGGAAAAUACAUUUCUAUU